rnacentral:rRNA from 1 species
GAUGAACGCUGGCGGUGUGCCUAAUACAUGCAAGUCGAGCGAACAGACGAGGAGCUUGCUCCUCUGACGUUAGCGGCGGACGGGUGAGUAACACGUGGAUAACCUACCUAUAAGACUGGGAUAACUUCGGGAAACCGGAGCUAAUACCGGAUAAUAUAUUGAACCGCAUGGUUCAAUAGUGAAAGACGGUUUUGCUGUCACUUAUAGAUGGAUCCGCGCCGCAUUAGCUAGUUGGUAAGGUAACGGCUUACCAAGGCAACGAUGCGUAGCCGACCUGAGAGGGUGAUCGGCCACACUGGAAGUGAGACACGAUCCAGACUCCUACGGGAGGCAGCAGUAGGGAAUCUUCCGCAAUGGGAGAAAGCCUGACGGAGCAACGCCGCGUGAGUGAUGAAGAUCUUCGGAUCGUAAAACUCUGUUAUUAGGGAAGAACAAAUGUGAAAGUAACUAUGCACGUCUUGACGGUACCUAAUCAGAAAGCCACGGCUAACUACGUG